AGCAGCCGCGGUAAUUCCAGCUCCAAUAGCGUAUAUUAAAGUUGUUGCAGUUAAAAAGCUCGUAGUUGAAUUUCGGGAUUGACGUGAUGGUCGUGCCUUAAGGGGUAUGAACUGUUGCAGUCAAUUUCUCACCUUCUGGAGAAAUAUGAUGUCCUUAAUUGGGUGUCAUAUGGAACCAGAACUUUUACCUUGAAAAAUUAGAGUGUUUAAAGCAGGCUUAUUGCUCGAAUACAUUAGCAUGGAAUAAUAAAAUAGGACGGCAUGGUUCUAUUUUGUUGGUUUCUAGGAUCACCGUAAUGAUUAAUAGGGAUAGUUGGGGGCAUUAGUAUUCAAUUGUCAGAGGUGAAAUUCUUGGAUUUAUUGAAGACUAACUACUGCGAAAGCAUUUGCCAAGGAUGUUUUCAUUAAUCAAGAACGAAAGUUAGGGGAUCGAAGACGAUCAGAUACCGU
rnacentral:rRNA from 1 species